UACGGGGGGGGUAAGCGUUGUUCGGAAUUACUGGGCGUAAAGAGCUCGUAGGCGGCCAACUAAGUCAGACGUGAAAUCCCUCAGCUUAACUGGGGAACUGCGUCUGAUACUGGAUGGCUUGGAUUCGGGAGAGGAAUGCGGAAUUCCAGGUGUAGCGGUGAAAUGCGUAGAUAUCUGGAGGAACACCGGUGGCGAAGGCGGCAUUCUGGACCGACAUUGACGCUGAGGAGCGAAAGCCAGGGGAGCAAACGGG
rnacentral:rRNA from 1 species